rnacentral:tRNA from 1 species
UGCAGGGUGGAGCAGUCUGGUAGCUCGUCAGGCUCAUAACCUGAAGGUCCUGGGUUCGAAUCCCAGCCCUGCACCCA